GGCUUUGUAGUGGAAAUUAUAAGACGUUAGAUUGCAAAUCUGAAGAUGUAAGUUAUUACUAAAGCUU
rnacentral:tRNA from 1 species